GGGUAACCUGCCUGUAAGACUGGGAUAACUCCGGGAAACCGGGGCUAAUACCGGAUGGUUGUCUGAACCGCAUGGUUCAGACAUAAAAGGUGGCUUCGGCUACCACUUACAGAUGGACCCGCGGCGCAUUAGCUAGUUGGUGAGGUAACGGCUCACCAAGGCGACGAUGCGUAGCCGACCUGAGAGGGUGAUCGGCCACACUGGGACUGAGACACGGCCCAGACUCCUACGGGAGGCAGCAGUAGGGAAUCUUCCGCAAUGGACGAAAGUCUGACGGAGCAACGCCGCGUGAGUGAUGAAGGUUUUCGGAUCGUAAAGCUCUGUUGUUAGGGAAGAACAAGUGCCGUUCAAAUAGGGCGGCACCUUGACGGUACCUAACCAGAAAGCCACGGCUAACUACGUGCCAGCAGCCGCGGUAAUACGUAGGUGGCAAGCGUUGUCCGGAAUUAUUGGGCGUAAAGGGCUCGCAGGCGGUUUCUUAAGUCUGAUGUGAAAGCCCCCGGCUCAACCGGGGAGGGUCAUUGGAAACUGGGGAACUUGAGUGCAGAAGAGGAGAGUGGAAUUCCACGUGUAGCGGUGAAAUGCGUAGAGAUGUGGAGGAACACCAGUGGCGAAGGCGACUCUCUGGUCUGUAACUGACGCUGAGGAGCGAAAGCGUGGGGAGCGAACAGGAUUAGAUACCCUGGUAGUCCACGCCGUAAACGAUGAGUGCUAAGUGUUAGGGGGUUUCCGCCCCUUAGUGCUGCAGCUAACGCAUUAAGCACUCCGCCUGGGGAGUACGGUCGCAAGACUGAAACUCAAAGGAAUUGACGGGGGCCCGCACAAGCGGUGGAGCAUGGUGGUUUAAUUCGAAGCAACGCGAAGAACCUUACCAGGUCUUGACAUCCUCUGACAAUCCUAGAGAUAGGACGUCCUCUUCGGGGGCAGAGUGACAGUUGGUGCAUGGGUUGUCGUCAGCUCGUGUCGUGAGAUGUUGGGUUAAGUCCCGCAACGAGCGCAACCCUUGAUCUUAGUUGCCAGCAUUCAGUUGGGCACUCUAAGGUGACUGCCGGUGACAAACCGGAGGAAGGUGGGGAUGACGUCAAAUCAUCAUGCCCCUUAUGACCUGGGCUACACACGUGCUACAAUGGACAGAACAAAGGGCAGCGAAACCGCGAGGUUAAGCCAAUCCCACAAAUCUGUUCUCAGUUCGGAUCGCAGUCUGCAAC
rnacentral:rRNA from 1 species